rnacentral:rRNA from 1 species
CCUACGGGCGGCAGCAGUGGGGAAUAUUGCUCAAUGGGCGAAAGCCUGACGCAGCGACGCCGCGUGAGGGAUGAAGGUCUUCGGAUCGUAAACCUCUGUCAGCAGGGAAGAACGGUCCCUGUGCUGCUCAGCAUUGAAUUGACGGUACCUGCAAAGGCAGCACCGGCUAACUCCGUGCCAGCCGCCGAGGUAAUACGGAGGGUGCGAGCGUUAAUCGGAAUUACUGGGCGUAAAGCGCUCGUAGGCGGUAUGUCAAGUCAAGGGUGAAAUCCCCGCGCUCAACGGGGGAACUGCCGUUGAUACUGGCAAACUGGAGUGUGUGAGAGGAGAGUGGAAGUCCAGGGGUAGGAGUGAAAUCCGUAGAUAUCUGGAGGAACAUCAGUGGCGAAGGCGACUAGCUGGAACAUAACUGACGCUGAGGAGCGAAAGCGUGGGUAGCAAACAGGAUUAGAUACCCUAGUAGUC